rnacentral:rRNA from 1 species
AGAAUCAACGCUGGCGGCGUGCCUAACACAUGCAAGUCGAACGAGAAAGGGUAGCAAUACCUGAGUAAAGUGGCGCACGGGUGAGUAACACGUGACUAACCUACCCUGGAGUGGGGGAUAACUGAGGGAAACCUUAGCUAAUACCGCAUAAUACCUACGGGUCAAAGGAGCAAUUCGCUUCAGGAGGGGGUCGCGGCCGAUUAGUUAGUUGGCGGGGUAAUGGCCCACCAAGACAGUGAUCGGUAUCCGGCCUGAGAGGGCGCACGGACACACUGGAACUGAAACACGGUCCAGACUCCUACGGGAGGCAGCAGUGGGGAAUUUUGCGCAAUGGGGGAAACCCUGACGCAGCAACGCCGCGUGGAGGAUGAAGUACUUCGGUACGUAAACUCCUUUCGAUCGGGACGAUAAUGACGGUACCGGAAGAAGAAGCCCCGGCUAACUUCGUGCCAGCAGCCGCGGUAAUACGAGGGGGGCAAGCGUUGUUCGGAAUUAUUGGGCGUAAAGGGUGCGUAGGCGGUUUGGUAAGUCUCUUGUGAAAUCUAUGGGCUCAACUCAUAGACUGCAAGGGAAACUGCCGGGCUUGAGUAUGGGAGAGGUGAGUGGAAUUCCUGGUGUAGCGGUGAAAUGCGUAGAUAUCAGGAGGAACACCUGUGGCGAAAGCGGCUCACUGGACCAUAACUGACGCUGAUGCACGAAAGCUAGGGGAGCAAACAGGAUUAGAUACCCUUGGUAGUCCUAGCCCUAAACGAUGAUUGCUUGGUGGUGACGGGUACCCAAUCCCGGCCGUGCCGUAGCUAACGCGUUAAGCAAUCCGCCUGGGGGAGUACGGUCGCAAGGCUGAA